rfam:Salmonella enterica subsp. enterica serovar Newport str. S09097 S_Newport_S09097_mira454_c695, whole genome shotgun sequence.
UAGCCAUCGGGUUGCUGUGAAGCCUGGGGCGGUAGCGUG